UACAGAGACUGCAAGCGUUAUUCGGAUUCACUGGGCGUAAAGGGUGCGCAGGCGGCCGUGUGUGUGAGGCGUGAAAGCCUGGAGCUUAACUCCAGAAUUGCACCUCAAACUACACGGCUAGAGCAUUGGAGAGGGUAGCGGAAUUCACGGUGUAGCAGUGAAAUGCGUAGAUAUCGUGAGGAACACCAGAGGCGAAGGCGGCUACCUGGACAAUUGCUGACGCUCAGGCACGAAAGCGUGGGGAGCAAAUGGG
rnacentral:rRNA from 1 species